rnacentral:rRNA from 1 species
UACAGAGGGUGCGAGCGUUAAUCGGAAUUACUGGGCGUAAAGCGUGCGCAGGCGGUUCUGCAAGUCAGUUGUGAAAGCCCCGGGCUUAACCUGGGAAUUGCGGUUGAAACUACAGGGCUAGAAUCUGGCAGAGGGGGGUGGAAUUCCACGUGUAGCAGUGAAAUGCGUAGAGAUGUGGAGGAACACCGAUGGCGAAGGCAGCCCCCUGGGCUGAGAUUGACGCUCAGGCACGAAAGCGUGGGGAGCAAACAGG